UGGUCCAAUUCAAAGAACAUUUUUUGAGAAAAAAAGGAAAACUUCCAAAGUGGGUGUACGGUCGUUUUUUAGGCGAAGCUGCAUCCUCUGUUCGUGUGUACUUAUUUUUUGAAUCAAUUCGCGUAACUCGACAUGAAGAUUACUGCAUUGAGUUACUUGUUUUGUCGUUGCUUUUUUUAUGUAUUUUUUUUGUUGCUUCUGCACGAGUUUCUUGAAGUGUGCACCUCCGCAGUGCAAGUCCGAUCCGGUGCUCGCCGAAAGGAGGCUAAGCUGCGCGGGGCCCUCAGUCGCCAGGCAAAAGGAAAGGGAAACCGGCCAAAGAGGGCGAAAAAGACAAAGAACAUGGCGAGAGUUAGCGGGCAGCGCUCCCUCUCGUUUGCGGUUUUCAAUCAUCUGUCCAUUCCGCUCAUCGCCUGACAAGUCAACUUUAGAGGGAAACGACGUUGCGCCCGCCGGCUGGAGAGGUCACACAAUGUUGUCUUGACCGGAUUUGCCUCAGUGGAAUAAAGAAGUGAUCUUCUACUUUUAACAGUGAUUAUCUUCAGAAUCUUUGUUUGUAUGUGGUGAGGCUGCACAGUUAUUUGCCUGCUAAAUGGAGUCCAUUGUAGAAUUUAAACCCCACUGGAGAGCACCACUGGGCUGCUCAGUUACCAGAAGGAUAAAAUUGCAGAUGUGCGUCAAGCACUAAGCAGCAGAAAUUCCAGCAUUAUUCAGACAAAUCAUUUCCAGUGAAAUAUUAAAGUUCCUUGAAGAAUACCCUGCUAUGCUGAACAAUGCUGGAUUCACAUGACAGCAUGUCAUGCUACAGAUAACCUCUUUGGGUGACCACUUAUUUAAAUGGAAAUGUGUUCUGGUGAAGUGAAACGAAGAGUUUGAAACUCUGAGCGGCAGGUGGUGUAAACAUCCUACACUCUCAGCUUUGGAAAGUGGAGAGGCUGGGAGCAGGGUGUUUGCGCUGUCUCCCUUGGAUAAGCAGCUCCCUUUGGGUCCCCCCCCCCCCAAGUUUUUAAUAUUACUUUAUUUCCCAUUGGGAUUAAUAAAGUAUCUAUCUAUCUAUCUAUCUAUCUAUCUAUCUAUCUAUCUAUCUAUCUAUCUAUCUAUCUAACUAACUAACUAACUAACUAACUAACUAACUAACUAACUAACUAACUAACUAACUAACUAACUAACUAACUAACUAACUAACUAACUAACUAACUAACUAACUAACUAAACUAAACUAAAAAUAGGAUCUUCAUAGUGGCCAAAAAAUAAAACUAUGCAAUAAACUAAGUGAAUGUUGCUGCCUUCAAGCCCAGUGCUAACAGUUUCAUUUAUUAUUGUAGUAAAUGAAGAAACAUAGUAUCAUCCUUAUCCAGUUAUCUUCCUCUAUUCUUUGCAGCUUUAAUUUCUUUUAUCACCGUUACAAAGCAAUUCAUAACAUGGUACUCUGUGUUUAAUGGAAGGAAAAAGUGCUCUGUUACUUAGCA